GCUGUUUCAUUCUCCAAUAUAUUCUCUGCCUUGUCACUGGCAAUUAUAAGAAGCUGCAAAUGAAGAGUCAUGAUAUAGCUUUCAUUCGUCGUGAUCUUUCUUACUUGAAAAUCAGCUACCUUUUGAAGUCCUGCAUGUGUUAAUGAGCUGUAGGUUCAAGAAAGAUGAAGGAAUGAGAAUGAUUAAAACGUUCAUCUCCAGUGCACAUGCAAAGCCCCCUCAAAAUCAUGGAUUAAUUCAAAGUAUCAAGGAUGUCUUUCUUGAUUUCUUUGGCAAGAUUUGUGAAGGAGAAGGGCCUUACCUGAUCAAAGAAGAAAAUCCUGCUCAUCUGCUUGAGAUAUUAAGAACGCAACUCAUAGACCCAAAUGUUUUCUCAGAAGGAGGAUGCUAUCUAAGGGGUGAGUGGUGCUCAUAUCGUUCAGCCAUGGAG
rnacentral:lncRNA from 1 species